GGAAUUUACGUAUAUGUUUAAACAUUAAACCGCGCAUAGCUCAUUACAACAGCUGUACUAUACACGUUAAUCAGGCCCGCGCUAUUCUAAAUGGAUAACUGCGGAAAAUCUGGAGCUAAUACAUGCAAUUAAUGCGUCAUAGUGUAUGCUAUGCGUAGUGCAAUCAUUAGUAAUAAUGACCAAUAUAUAUAUAUUUUAUAUAUAUAUUUCUCAUUGUUGAACUCUGGAUAAUUUCCAACCUUUUACAAUGUAAAUUGGAAGGAAAAACGUGUAUGGAUCUGCCCUAUCAACUUGAUGUAAAGAUAUUAUCUUUACAUGGUGAUAACGGGUAACGGAGAAUUAGGGUUCGUCUCCGGAGAGAAUGCCUGAGAAACAGCUUUCACAUCCAAGGACGGCAGCAGGCGCGAAAAUUACCCACUCUUAGUACGAGGAGGUAGUGACUUGAAAUGACGAGAUACAUGUGGUAAAACAUGUGUAUCAUUGGAAUGGUUGAAACUUACACCAUUUCAAGAAUUCAAGGAGAGGGCAAGUCUGGUGCCAGCAGCCGCGGUAAUUCCAGCUCUCCUACUGAAUUAAACCUCUGUUGCGGUUAAAAAGUUCGUAGUUGCAAGUUAUACGAGGAUAUACGGGAGAAUACAUGUGUAUUUGAUUAAUUUCUUGCAUAUGUAUUUUUCCGAUCCCUGUCCUAUCGUAUUGGGUGAAUAUAUAUAUGUGUAACAGCAUAUAUGUGUUUUCCCGGUUACUUUGAGUAAAUCAAAGUGAUCAAAACAUGCGUUUACGCAUGAAUGGUUGUCCAAGGGAUAACAUAACAGUUGUGGUGCAAACUGUUUGUUGGUUGUAAUUGACCAUGACAUGGUUAAUAGGGGUAAUUCGGGGGCAGAGGUAUAUCCGGGCGAGGGGUGAAAUCCGUUGACCCUGGAUAGACCAUCUAAAGCGAAAGCAUCUGCCAAGGAUACUUUCUUUAACUAAGAACGAAAGUUGGAGGAUCGAAGACGAUUAGAUACCGUCCUAGUUCCAACUGUAAACGAUGCCAUCUGUCGAUUCUAUAUUUGUAUAUGUAAUAUGCAAUAUAGAGGAGAUGACCGGAAACGUAAAGUUUUUCGGUUCCGGGGGAAGUAUGGUUGCAAAACUGAAACUUAAAGGGAUUGACGGAAAGUCACCACCAGAAAUGGAGCUUGCGGCUUAAUUUGACUCAACACGGGAAAACUUACUCAGUCUAGACACUAAGAGGAUUGUCGUAGUAAUACUACUACAAGAUAUGGUGCAAAGUGGUGCAUGGCCGUUCUUAGUUCGUGGAGCAAUCUGUCUGGUUAAUUCCGAUAACGAACGAGAUCUGUUAUUUGUGUUGAUAAAAUAUAUAUUAUAUAUAUUUUAUCUUCACAAUGGAUACGCAAGAAUAAACUUGCAUGAAAGCAAGUAAUAACAGGUCUGUAAUGCCCUUAGUUGUCUGAGGCUGCACGCGUGCUACAAUGGAAAUUGCAGUACGUGUGUAAUACAUGGAAACAUGUAUUUAAACGUGUCAAAUUAUUCCGCAUUCGGGAUCAUGGAUUGUAAUUAUCCAUGUGAACGAGGAACUUCAAGUAAGUGUAUGUCACUACCAUACGCUGAUUACGUCCCUGUCUUUUGUACACACCGCCCGUCGCUGCCUAGAACUGUAUUAAUAUAAGAAAACAUUGGAGGUGUAUAUAGUUUCAAAUUUAUUUGUUAUUAUAUAUGCUGAAGAUGUUUGAUUAUAUUGGUAUAACCAGCAAAAGUCGUGCAGUUACU
rnacentral:rRNA from 1 species